rnacentral:rRNA from 1 species
CAGGCCUAACACAUGCAAGUCGAACGGUAACGCGGGGCAACCUGGCGACGAGUGGCGAACGGGUGAGUAAUACAUCGGAACGUGCCCAGUAGUGGGGGAUAGCCCGGCGAAAGCGAAUUUUAAUACCGCAUACGACCUACGGGUGAAAGCAGGGGAUCGCAAGACCUUGCGCUAUUGGAGCGGCCGAUGUCAGAUUAGCUAGUUGGUGGGGUAAUGGCCCACCAAGGCGACGAUCAGUAGCUGGUCUGAGAGGAUGAUCAGCCUCACUGGGACUGAGACACGGCCCAGACUCCUACGGGAGGCAGCAGUGGGGAAUAUUGGACAAUGGGGGAAACCCUGAUCCAGCCAUGCCGCGUGAGUAUGAAGGCCUUAGGGUUGUAAAGCUCUUUCGUCAGGGAAGAUAAUGACGGUACCUGAAGAAGAAGCCCGGCUAACUUCGUGCCAGCAGCCGCGGUAAU